GAUGAACGCUGACAGAAUGCUUAACACAUGCAAGUCAACUUGAAUUUGGGUUUUUAACUUAGGUUUGGGUGGCGGACGGGUGAGUAACGCGUAAAGAACUUGCCUCACAGCUAGGGACAACAUUUGGAAACGAAUGCUAAUACCUAAUAUUAUGAUAAUAGGGCAUCCUAUAAUUAUGAAAGCUAUAAGCGCUGUGAGAGAGCUUUGCGUCCCAUUAGCUAGUUGGAGAGGUAACGGCUCACCAAGGCGAUGAUGGGUAGCCGGCUUGAGAGGGUGAUCGGCCACAAGGGGACUGAGACACGGCCCUUACGCCUACGGGAGGCAGCAGUGGGGAAUAUUGGACAAUGGACCAAGAGUCUGAUCCAGCAAUUCUGUGUGCACGAUGAAGUUUUUCGGAAUGUAAAGUGCUUUCAGUUGGGAAGAAAGAAAUGACGGUACCAACAGAAGAAGUGACGGCUAAAUACGUG
rnacentral:rRNA from 1 species